rnacentral:rRNA from 1 species
GAUGAACGCUGGCGGCGUGCCUAAUACAUGCAAGUCGAGCGAACAGACGAGGAGCUUGCUCCUCUGACGUUAGCGGCGGACGGGUGAGUAACACGUGGAUAACCUACCUAUAAGACUGGGAUAACUUCGGGAAACCGGAUCUAAUACCGGAUAAUAUAUUGAACCGCAUGGUUCAAUAGUGAAAGACGGUUUUGCUGUCACUUAUAGAUGGAUCCGCGCCGCAUUAGCUAGUUGGUAAGGUAACGGCUUACCAAGGCAACGAUGCGUAGCCGACCUGAGAGGGUGAUCGGCCACACUGGAACUGAGACACGGUCCAGACUCCUACGGGAGGCAGCAGUAGGGAAUCUUCCGCAAUGGGCGAAAGCUUGACGGAGCCACGCCGCGUGAGUGAUGAAGGUCUUCGGAUCGUAAAGCUCUGUUAUUAGGGAAGAACAAAUGUGUAAGUAACUAUGCACGUCUUGACGGUACCUGAUCAAAAAGCCACGGCUAACUACGUG